GAGUGGCUGGGCAAGUGGAGUCUGAGAUGAGCUACUGAGAUAAAUCUGGUUCCUACAGGGCUGAGAUCAUGUUUUCCAGCAGCAAUCCCAGGUCUGGGUGGAAACCCGGAGGUUUUCAGGAAGCCUGGAGGAGGCUGGCUUAGAAUGAGCUGCUGCAUUGGCUGUGCAGACGUGACCCUCAGGACUUCAUCUGAACCUGUGAAGAGUUUCCAUGCAGGGAAGGGGGGAUGAGUAGAGCUAGGGACCUAAAAUUUGAGAGGGGAAGAUAUUCCCCAGUGGAAGACAGUAAAUCAAAGACUAGAGACCAAGCAUCAGUCUACUGGGUGUUUGCUACACCUCUGAAGAGCUAAGGUUUUCCCUCCUGUUACAGUAAUGGACACUCAACAACACGUACCCUUCCCAGCAACCUGUCCCGCUGGAAAACUACUCGAUAAGGUAACUUCUGCCUGAAGGGGACCAGGGUCAUCAUACCCGCAAGUGCAGCAUCUUCCUGCAGCUCUCAUACUACCAAGCUGGGGUUUUUCCAACAUAAACAUUACAGGGGCUAAACGAGAGGUGGCUUCCUUUCUCAAUAAGCUGUUCUCUCUCUCGGAUGCCCUUGACAGAGCCCUGCAGCCUCCCCCACUGGGGCUUGGUGGAUAGGUGGUCGCUUCUCCUCCGAAUUUCAGGAAUGUUUAGGUUUGCACAGGUCCUGCAGGCGAGCUUGGAGAAGGAUUAGAAAAAUGCUCAUUCUUAAUCAGUUCGGGCUUGUCUUUAUGCCAGCGAGGUUGACCUUGGGGACAGAAGGGUGGCCAGGACAAGGACAAGCAUCCUGGUACUGGGGAAUUCUCUGAUAUGGGGCUGGGACGUCAAGAUGGGCCAUGAUGGCCCCUGGGGAUAGGGCUUCUCUGCAGUGGAAGCAGAAGCAUCCCGGUGUUUUCUGCUGUGUCACUGCCCUCAGAGGGAUGUAUAAAGCUGCUUGGGGGCUCAUAGGAGAGGGAUGAAACCAAGAGUUUGGCUUUCCAGCAACAGCGGACAAAGAGUGGGAAGGGGUACUCUAUGCCCCAGGUCUGCAACAUCUUGCCCUAUGCGCUAGGUUUUCCCAAAGGUCCUUUGGCUCCAAGAAUUUUACAGCAGAACAAAGGGAUCGAUACCCCCAAGGGGGCAUAAAAGCAUGCCAAUGAGAAUACCCGCCGCCGACCGGGCACCAAGAAAGUCCUCGGUGGCUGGGUCACGUGCAGAUAUUGUUGCCUGGGGUCUAGACUGGCGUGAGUCUCAAUUGGUUUCUACGGGACAACUCACUGCGGGCUACCCCUCCCGAGCCCUAGCUCCGGGCUACCGCCCUGGGUGGGUUUGGCAAUUGUCCUGCUCGAGGUGGUUCAGGCCGCCCACAAGGGGCACAGCCGGGCAGUCAGGAACCGGGGCUGCCGGCUGGGCUGGCCUGCAAAGAAGAGGGAAGGGCCGGAACUGCAACCGCAGUGGCGGGGAGUGCGAGGGGGCGGCAGGUGCAGGAGCGGGAGGCGGGGCGGAGCUGGGCAGAGUCCUCGCCAGUCCGGCGUCCCGGAGUGACCUUCCCCCCCACCGCCAGCGCCCAGGAGGGGUGGACCCACAGCCCAGGGAGGCCGAAAGCGCGGGCGGGCAGGCAGGCGUGGAGGCUGGGCCAGGACUGCCGGGCUGGGGUCCUCGAGGCUCCGGGCGACCCAGGUGCGGAUCCCCCAGCCACGGAAGGGGCGGUUCACGCCCAGCCGGGAGCUGGGAGGGGGCUGCGCGGCGCUGCCUGCGCGUCCCUCACCGCCGCCCCCGCCUCCUCCUCGGCCCGCG
rnacentral:lncRNA from 1 species